CUAGUGGGUACUGCAAGCCGAUGAGGGCGAGUGUACUCACUGGUAACCAAAAACAUAACAGUGAAAGGUAAUACAGAAGUAAUGUCAAUAGGAAACAAGAUAUAUACAUAUACAACUACCGCUACUGUAAAUAACAUGCAUCAACCGAACGAUCAAUCCAAAAUACCCAAUUCAGAAUCCGCCACGUCGGUCUAAGAAUAUCAGGCA
rnacentral:lncRNA from 1 species